ACAGAGGGUGCAAGCGUUAAUCGGAAUUACUGGGCGUAAAGCGUGCGUAGACGGUUAUUUAAGUCGGGUGUGAAAGCCCCGGGCUCAACCUGGGAAUGGCCAUGGAAACUGGCGAACUGGAGUGUGGCAGAGGGGGGUGGAAUUCCGCGUGUAGCAGUGAAAUGCGUAGAGAUGCGGAGGAACACCGAUGGCGAAGGCAGCCCCCUGGGCUAGCACUGACGCUCAGGCACGAAAGCGUGGGGAGCAAACAGGA
rnacentral:rRNA from 1 species